rnacentral:rRNA from 1 species
CCUACGGGCGGCAGCAGUGAGGAAUAUUGGUCAAUGGACGAGAGUCUGAACCAGCCAAGUAGCGUGAAGGAUGACUGCCCUAUGGGUUGUAAACUUCUUUUAUAAAGGAAUAAAACGAGGCACGUGUGCCUUUUUGCAUGUACUUUAUGAAUAAGGAUCGGCUAACUCCGUGCCAGCAGCCGCGGUAAUACGGAGGAUCCGAGCGUUAUCCGGAUUUAUUGGGUUUAAAGGGAGCGUAGAUGGGUUGUUAAGUCAGUUGGGAAAGUUUGCGGCUCAACCAUAAAAUUGCAAUUGAUACUGGCAGUCAUGAGUAGAGUUGAGGUAGGCGGAAUUCGUGGGGUAGCGGUGAAAUGCUUAGAUAUCGCGCAGAACCCCGAUUGCGAAGGCAGCUUACCAACCUGUGACUGACAUUGAUGCACGAAAGUGUGGGUAUCAAACAGGAUUAGAUACCCUUGUAGUC